AGAUUGAACGCUGGCGGCAUGCUUUACACAUGCAAGUCGAACGGUAACAGGCCGCAAGGUGCUGACGAGUGGCGAACGGGUGAGUAAUGUAUCGGAACGUGCCCAGUCGUGGGGGAUAACGCAGCGAAAGCUGCGCUAAUACCGCAUACGAUCUAUGGAUGAAAGCGGGGGACCGUAAGGCCUCGCGCGAUUGGAGCGGCCGAUAUCAGAUUAGGUAGUUGGUGGGGUAAAGGCUCACCAAGCCAACGAUCUGUAGCUGGUCUGAGAGGACGACCAGCCACACUGGGACUGAGACACGGCCCAGACUCCUACGGGAGGCAGCAGUGGGGAAUUUUGGACAAUGGGCGCAAGCCUGAUCCAGCAAUGCCGCGUGCAGGAAGAAGGCCUUCGGUUGUAAACUGCUUUUGUACGGAACGAAACGGUCCUGGUUAAGUACCUAGGGCUAAUGACGGUACCGUAAGAAUAAGCACCGGCUAACUACGUGCCAGCAGCCGCGGUAAC
rnacentral:rRNA from 1 species